UAAUCCACAGCAUCUUGCUUGUUCUCAAUGACUCCAACAACUAUUUCAGCAUUCAAAUUAUCAUGCAGGUAGUGCUGCAAAUGACUUUCAACUGGGAAUGCUUCAUACAAGAACUUCUUGUAGUAUUCUUUACGAGGGGCAUGACAGAGGAUGACACAUUUCCCAGAAUUAUCUAAUAGAGGUCGACUGGCAUGGCCCAUCAUCUGUAACAGAUCAGUAACUGGGUAAUCAGUGUGAGCAUUUUCGCGCCCAUCAUAAUACUGGGUUCCCAUUACGACCACCAAAUGAGCUGACAAUGGCACUCCCCAGCAUAAUGAACUACUCAUAACACAAACCUGAAUCCACCCAGCUUCAAACAGCUGUGACACAACUUCCUGAUCCAUACCAGUUAAGCCCUCAUGCAAAUAACCCACUCCAUGACGUAGAGUGGCCCUCAACAUUUCUUCUUGAAUCUUGCCAACAAAAGGCUCUAGUUCUUCUGGAGACCGUAAGAGAAAUGUAGGGUUCUCUCCACCAUCUGCACUAGAGUAUGUCGUCAAAUCCACAGCAGUAAGUCGUACAUGCUUCCUUGUAGGCACAAACACAAUAGCAGGUUUUCUAUUCUUGGCAUGUUGCACAAUUGCAGUAUAUGUUGGUUUUGUCAUUGCUUGCAUCCUCGCUUCAAAAUUAGCUAUAUCAACUCCCUGAAUGUGUAUUUCCAGGGGCACAGGACGCACACCAGGAGGG
rnacentral:lncRNA from 1 species